UAAUUUACCUGCUGGAAGUUUCUAGACAGGUAGGACUCUGUGCUUCACCAGCGUUAAUGUCUAAUGUGUUCAGUCGGUAAAGGAUUUGGAGUCGUAACAUGUAAAUAAGCUAGAAAUCGUCAGCGUCAUCGUCACGUCUUCGUCACGCUAUUCGGGCCGCCCUGUGUGUAGAUGGGAAUAAAAGCAGGUCGCUUCCGUGUCCGUGCCUCAGAAGGACAGAGCAUUCUCUCAGUACAGCGAAAGAAUGAAAGUAAUGCUGAUAAACCUCUUUAAACAUUCCUGGAACCUGAUUUUCUGCUAAUGAACAAUGCUAACUGUUGACCAUUUACACAUCAGUGUCCUCACAUGGACGUGAUUUAAAGGACAUCGUCAUCGUCUGAGCUGGAGGCUUUACUGAGCUCUUUACGGUCCAUAAGACCACAGAAUCUGAGCAUCACUCUGAAUCCCAGUGAUCCCAGUAUGGAGAGUUAUAGUGGUUCCUUCCACUUCCUGCAGUUUGACCGUCUCGUCUCCAGCCGCACACAAAAAGUGGACUGAACUGGAUCUUUCCCUGUCACUGGAGUGGAGAAAAACACCUUCUGUACCUUCAGGUGUGUCUCUAAACAUUACUCUCAAAGCUAAUUAAUGUACAUGAGAGUUUCUUAAACUAAUCAUGUUCCUCAGAUCAAUUAAAAGUAAAACACACUCAUAUAAUUAAAAAAACACACACUACAGGAAUAAAUGAUGUGCUGUAGAGAGUCCCACCUCAGUGACAGUGAAAAGUGCUGUUCAGUGUUUAUUCUGAGAGUUUAAUAGAAAGGAAACUAAACAGGUUCCUGUGUUUGGCUUUGUCUGAAAAGUCAAAGUGCUGUGAAACAGGAGCUUUUCAGAGGACUCAUUAACACCAGCUCUAAACUGCUGUAGCACUGUUCAGCUUAACACUGAGCAAAAUUCACUCCAUCCAACACACCAAGUAUUACACUGACUUUCACAACCCACUUUCCCCUUCUUCAGGACGGACUUCUUUUAUAAAACUCUGUAGAUUUACAGUUACACUUUCUUCUGUUGUGAAGGAAAGGUGUAAACUUACAGCACAGCAGGAGGAGAAAAGUCCAGAGAAUCCUGUUUCCUGCUAAAAUAGUCACAUUUUCAUAAUCCAUAGUAAGUGUUUGUCAGCCAGACAUUUUCCCGUCGUCCUGAACAUCAGUGUCACUGAAGGAUUUUAUAAACAAUAAAACUAGCAGAUAAGCGACAUGGUGUGUGUUUCUGCUGUAUGUUAUGCUUCCGAUGCUGUUAGCUUAGCGUCUUUACUGGCUCACAUCCAUCAACCCGCUGCAGCUCCUCCUGUGGCAGUGUGUUCAGUCUGUACAUGCUCAGUACACACUUUCCCCUCAGCUCUGUGUAACACACCUUUUUAAAGAUAUUUUCAGGUGUAUUUAAUGAGGGCUUUAAAAUGUUAUAAUUAGAAAAAAUUAAAUGUUAUAAUUACAUACUGAUCCUACAAAUAUUACUUGAAUAAUUGUGUUUGUAGUCAAAAGGAGAAUGUGGGAAAACACUGCCAUUGCCCUGUAAUUAUUAUCUGAUGUCACAUAAUACCAUCUCCACCAUCCUAAACAUAACUAAUAAAUAGCUAAUAUUCUCAUCCUAAAGUCAUUUAGUUUCUAUUUUACAGUUUCAGAGCCAUGCACCUGCGCUUUAAUAUUAUGAUUAACACAGUGUUCUCGACUUCUCUCUAAUGGCUCAACACUAACAGAUCACAGAAAUCUAACUAGUGGACACUUGCAGCACAAGGCUAGGAGGAACGGACGUGUAAACUCUGUUUCUUAGUUCAAACUCUGUUACUGCAAUUCCUUCUCAUUCCUUCAAACUAUACAGUAAAACCAGUUUUCUUUAGCUUACUAUGUAAAGUAGGGAUAGAUAGAUAGAUAGAUGGAUAGAUAGAUUAUUCAGUCUAUAGUUAUAUUCACUCCAUCCUCAGGCUUAACAGGCCUCGUCUAAUGUUAAAAUCCUUUAACAUAACAGUGGAGAUUUUCCCACACUGAGAGUAAGUCAUUAAGGAAAAGAGAAACGCAUACAGGAACGCAGAGCUUCUGUAGAUGUGGAUGUAAGAAGGUAAGUGUUCAGGGCCUUCUGUGACUCACAUCUAGCCAUCAAUCUGUGCAUUAUAAACUGCAGUUUGCACUUGAAGUCAUUUGCAUUUAAAAUACAGUGGUUAUGCUUUUUGAUCAUGUAUUUAAAUAAGCUGCGAGAAAUGCUUUACAUAAUUCCAUAUGAUUUUUUUCAAUAUUACUAAAACAGAGAACAGUUCUGACUGUAAUUGUUACAGGACUUGAUGUUUUGUGUGUGUUAGAUCGUUAGAUCAAAAGCUAAUAAACAAUAACGAUACUAGUGAAGUGUUACUUAAAUGUCUGUGCUUACAUUUUAUGUGUUUAAUCUUGUGACUGUAUUUCCUGAACCGAACUGUUGUUGUGUCAUGAAGACCUCGAAAUAAAAAGAAUCCACACAAGCUCUGACCCAGAUAAAACACACCACAGAGAUUAAAAGAUUAAAAGAACCGUGUUUGAGAAUUCUUUAUCAAAUCAAUCAACAAUUAAACAAAGACUUGAAAUUCAUAACUGAGCUCAUUUGAACUUGUUAGUAAUGCACUGAGCAAACAGAUGUGUUGGUUAGAUUUUAGUUUUGCUUUUUACGGGAAUCAGCAUGUGUCAGUGUGUAUAACAUCCUUUUACAUUUGUGUUUUAAAUAAAUGUGUGGUGUUUAUUCUAAAGUAAUGAUUGUCAGUCAUUAUUCUAUCGAGCCUGUUGUAGGAAGUUCAGCACUGGACUGGACUCCUGUCUAGAUCUUGAAGUUUGUACACCCUCAGGUAGACGUUACAUUACAUGCAGGUAACAUGCCAAUUUCACUUCAGUCUGUACUUAGAACCAGAAAGAUCAUACUCAUGCUUGCAAACAUUUAAUAAAAAAACUUUUUAUAUAA